rnacentral:rRNA from 1 species
CCCGUCACACCAUGGGAGUCAAUUGCUCCAGAAGUCAGUGUGCCAACCGCAAGGAGGCAGCUGCCAAGGAGUGAUUGGUAACUGGGUG